CCUACGGGAGGCAGCAGCUAGGAAUCUUGGGAAUGGGCGAAAGCCUGACCCAGCAACGCCGCGUGGGCGAUGAAGGCCUUCGGGUCGUAAAGCCCUUUUGCGAGGGAAGAUAAUGACGGUACCUCGCGAAUAAGCCACGGCUAACUACGUGCCAGCAGCCGCGGUAAUACGUAGGUGGCAAGCGUUGUCCGGAUUUACUGGGCGUAAAGGGCGUGCAGGCGGUUUGUUAAGUUCAGGGUGAAAGCUCCCGGCUCAACUGGGAGAGGUCCUUGGAUACUGGCAAACUAGAGGGAUACAGAGGAAAGUGGAAUUCCCGGUGUAGUGGUGAUAUGCGUAGAUAUCGGGAGGAACACCAGUGGCGAAGGCGGCUUUCUGGGCAUUUCCUGACGCUGAGACGCGAAAGCGUGGGGAGCGAACCGGAUUAGAUACCCGGGUAGUCCACGCCGUAAACGAUGGACACUAGGUGUAGGGGGUAUCGACCCCCUCUGUGCCGCAGCUAACGCAAUAAGUGUCCCGCCUGGGGAGUACGGCCGCAAGGCUAAAACUCAAAGGAAUUGACGGGGGCCCGCACAAGCAGCGGAGCGUGCGGUUUAAUUCGUCGCAACGCGAAGAACCUUAC
rnacentral:rRNA from 1 species